rnacentral:rRNA from 1 species
UAGGGAAUCUUCGGCAAUGGGGGGAACCCUGACCGAGCAACGCCGCGUGAGUGAAGAAGGUUUUCGGAUCGUAAAGCUCUGUUGUUAAGGAAGAACGAGUGUGAGAAUGGAAAGUUCAUACUGUGACGGUACUUAACCAGAAAGGGACGGCUAACUACGUGCCAGCAGCCGCGGUAAUACGUAGGUCCCGAGCGUUGUCCGGAUUUAUUGGGCGUAAAGCGAGCGCAGGCGGUUAGAUAAGUCUGAAGUUAAAGGCAGUGGCUCAACCAUUGUAGGCUUGGGAAACUGUUUAACUUGAGGGCGAAAGGGGAGGGUGAAUUCCAUGUGUAGCGGUGAAAUGCGUAGAUAUAUGGAGGAACACCGGUGGCGAAAGCGGCUCUCUGGUCUGUAACUGACGCUGAGGCUCGAAAGCGUGGGGAGCGAACAGG